rnacentral:rRNA from 1 species
UGGGGGACAACCCAGGGAAACGUUGGGCUAAUACCGCAUGAGUGCAGCGCAUAAAGCAUCUUUAGGUGGGUGUUUUAUGCGUUGCAUAAAGGUGGCCUUCGGGCUGUCGUUUGAGGAUGAGUCUGCGUCCUAUUAGUUAGUUGGUGAGGUAAUGGCUCACCAAGGCGAUGAUAGGUAGGCGGCCUUAACGGGUGGCCGCCCACACUGGGAUUGAGAUACCGGCCCAGACUCCGUACGGGAGGCAGCAGUCGAGAAUAGUCUACAAUGGAACGAAAGUCUGAUAGUGCGACGCCGCGUGAACGAAGAAUCCCGUUCGGGGUGUAAAGUUUUCCUUUUAUAUGUGAGCAAUGCUUUUUAUGUGAAUAGCAUGAGAAGAGAGAUAUUAGCAUAUGAAUAAGCAACGGCUAACUCCGUGCCAGCCGCAGC